rnacentral:lncRNA from 1 species
UGAUUGGUUUGUAAUUGUAUUUAUUGACUCUCAACAGGUGUGGAACAGAAUAGCUCCUGGCCUAGCCUCUCAGUUUGAUUCUCCUUACUCGUUACCAGUGACUGCUCCACGGCCUCUUUACCUCCUUAACGGCGCUAAGGAUCCUCGCUGUCCUCUUGGUGGACUAGUUGUUCCUUUAGAAAGAGCUCAAAAGGCUUACGAGGAAACUGCUUCUCCUGGAAACUUCAAGGUUUAUCCAUCACUGAUCUAAAUCAUUUAGUUCUAAUGCAUCUGAAAAGGGUUUUGGUGUUUGAGGGUUUUGGUGUUUGAUUUGAGAGAGCAGUUUGUAGCAGAAGAUGGAGUUGGACACGAAGUAACAAGCUUUAUGAUCAAAGAAACAUCAGAUUGGUUUGACAAGUUCCUUAAACAAGGAAACAUUACUUCUUACUAAAACUGUAAUACAAUUAUUGUAAACCAAUAAGCUCAUAUUUAAUAAGAAGGAAACAUCUUCUUUGUAACCUUACAUGUGAAUCUUUUAAUAAUGUAAGCAAAAGAAAAGCACGAGAGGAUGAUCAUCCUUUCUUAGGCAUAGCGGCGAGGCGUGUGUACAUGCGUGCCAUUGAAUUGAACCCUCUCACAUCCCCAGAUCUUAGUAGGUUUCCUAUAUCAGUAGCAACGCACAAAGAUCAAAUCAGAUAUGAAGUUAUCAGAGGAUUUUGGGGACUAUAGACGAAAUAAUAAAAAUUUCAAUAGUUUAGGGGAUUAAUUUUCCUUUUUACAAAUUUAAGAACCUAAGUAUAUAUAUAUAUAUUAAAAAUUUGGGGGCUUGAGGCUAAUGUUUCAUCCGGUUUGGCCCAGAACAGGCCCUGGAAGUUAUAAAAGCACUUUGCAUUGUACCUGAGUCACAGUUAAGAGGACUGUCCGCCUCAGGAUGAGCCAUCAAAGCUAUGAUGGCUCUACACACUGACUGAAGCGUCCAGGCAGGGCUCCACGCGUUCUUCAAUAUGUCAAGACAUAUCUCCCCUGUCUACACAACACAAAACAUUACAAGAUUCGUUCAUUCAUUCACAUGAAUGUGUUCCUCUUACCUUGAAAUGCACAUUGGGAUGGAAUAUUUUAGUCAAGAACCGAACUUGAGGAGGCUGCAGAGGAUAAUUUUCAGGAACAGCAAAGGCAAGCUGGAACACUCCGCCUUCAUAAGGAGUCUCUGAUGGUCCCUAACCUCACACACACAAAAAAACAAAGAGCGUAUUUAAAAAAAAAAAAAAAAAAAAAAAAACCUUUGAUCUUGUUUCAACGCAUCGGAAUCAGAUGGAAAAUCCAUCAAAAAAAUGUUUCGAUUUAAAUUUGUUAUGGUCUUUGGCGUAUUAUCCGAAAUCGGAAAACCGAAUCGAGAAAAACAAAACCAUAACCGGAUCGAAUUUUACGAAAAAAUUCUGAACGGUUUUUAUUUUUCUAUUCUCUGAAGCCGAAAUCCAAAUCGUUUUUAAUUCGGUUUCUUUCUAAUUCAGUUAUGUUUCGGAUUUUACAAAAAGAAAAAAAUAGAAAACCGACUUAAACCGACAUCUGAACCGAUCUGAUCCGAAAAAUAUUCGGUUCAUGUUUUAAAUUUCCCAAUCUGAAUAACCCGAACCACAAACCUGAAUGUCCACUGCUAAUCGGUCAUAGCAAAUACCUGUCAGUUUAUUCAGUGUUCUUUUUAUUUACUAGCCAUUUGAUCUAUGUUUGUUGUACAAAGAUUAUUUUUAAAAAUCAAGAAUUUGAAAGUGCGAAGGUUGAUGUAUAUCAGUAUAUAGCUGAUGAUUAUUCGGUUUCUUUCUAAUUCAGUUAUGUUUCGGAUUUUACAAAAAAGAAAAAAUAGAAAACCGACAUUUGAACCGAUCUGAUCCGAAAAAUAUUCGGUUCAUGUUCUAAAUAUCCCAAUCUGAAUAGCCCGAACCACAAACCUGAAUGUCCACUGCUAAUCAAUCGGUCAUAGCAAAUAACUUUCAGUUUAUUCAGUGUUUUUGUUUACUAGCCAUUUGAUCUUUGUUUGAUUAUUUUAAAAAAUCAAGAGUUUGAAAGUGUGAAGGUUGAUGUAUAUCAGUAUAUAGCUGAUGAUGACUAUGAUAGCAAUCUGACAAAGAAAGAUUUAAAUACAUCGACACCCCCCCCUCACAUAGCCAGCAAGAAACGCAUAAAUAUUAAACUAUACGUGGUUUAUGAAAAGUGGUUGAAUACUUUUUUUAUGUUCGUUACGACUUACGAGCAGAGCAUUUAGCAUACUUGUGUAGGUUUCUGCCUUUUAACCUUACCGCAUGUUACUAUGGUCAGGGCCGUGCUUCACAUGUACUCCCUAUGUUUUAUUAUGUAUGUAAUGCACAAAGAUUAAGAUUUCUUUAAAAAAAAUAUAUAGCAUUUGAUAUAUAAAUUAGUCAUAGUUAAACCAAUCAUCAAUAAGUUUAUAUUAUUUGAUUAGUCACACACUAUACCUAAUAAAAGUAAAAAUUAUAUAGAAUAUACGAAAACUACUUAUAUUUUAAAACAAACUAAUAUCUUUUAAACUAUUUAUAAUAUCAAACGGAGGAAGCAUCAGAAAAGAUUCACAGCCCCAAAAUAUAUAGACAUCCCAUCUUAGGGGCCCCAUUUACAUAAAUAUAGUAUAUCAUAUUGGUUAAAGAUGCUAAUUUUAUAUAACAUCAACAUGAGUUCAACACUCCAACGUUAUUCUUUUAAAAUAGCUUUUAUUUUGUUGUCAAGAUUCCAAAGCUGAGAAAAAAUCUGUAUCCCCAAACAGAAAAUCUAAAGUCCAAAAAAAAAAAAAAAUGAAAAUGUCAAUUAGUUUUAUAUGUUUGAUCUUAGACAUUUAGAUACAGGAUCCCUAAGAAUAAAUAAAUAGUUACAACUUACAUAUAAAACUAAUGAGCUGUUUACGUAUAAAGUUAAUUUUCCAAGUUUGUUUGCAUGUCACAUAUUUUGGAACUGAAGCGUACUAUUUGUUUUACUUUUGUUUUUUCUCCCGUAAAUGCCCUUUUCACAGACGAGAUGCGCUUUUCUGGUUAAAGUAAAAAGGAGAAAGUAAUUGACUUUAAAUGGAAAGUGACCGAACCAGAGGAGGGAAAUAAUUGACUUUCAUACUUUUUGUAUAAUUAGUGUUUUAUUUCACCCUUCCACUUUUAUUUUGUUAAUUUUUCAUUGUCAAAAUAUAUAUAGCUAAUGUAUUUGAUAUAAUUAAUUAUAACUUUGUAUUUCUAUAUUUUAACAUCCAAUUUGAUUUUUAUUUUUAAUAUAUCUGUGUUUAUAGUCAACUAGUUUUGUGGUUACGUAUAUGUGAUUGGUAGAUGUGGACGCAUAGAAAGUGGUCAAACAAUAUAAAAAAGUUUUUGGAACGACAGUAGUGGUGAUAGUGUAGGUUGUGUAGAUGUGGAUCUAAUGGUCAGAGGAUAUGGGAUUCGAAAAUGGGAGGUGUGGAUGGAGUUGUUGUGGUCAUGAAUAACAGAUGAAAGAUGGUUAGGAGUGAUGAGGUCAUGGUGAAGAUAUUGUAGACUGUGGUCAGGAGUGGUGUGGUUAUAGAUAGGAGAGGGUGUCUAGUCGUUGAUGUGGCCUGGAGAGCUGUGGAUGUAUACAAGUUGCUUAUAUAAAAGGGAGUGGUUUAACAUCGAUUGGACUAAAUUGUAAGAUUAAAAUGUUUUGAGAAAAUCGAUUGGACCAUUCUGCACAUUUUAAAAGUCAAGAUAAAUUCAUAAACACCUAAGAUUUGGAAGACCAGAUCUGCAAAUAUGGAGAAACCACCAUUGAUGUGCUCCAUCCUUCUUCUCUUUUGAUAUGGUUGAUGAUGACGGUUCCGGUAGUGACCACGACGGGAGAGCUGACCACGGAGAGGACGAGGCCACUCGGACAGAUAUAACGUGGUUUUGGUGGCUUCGAAUCAAUACCGGUUUUGUACCACUGCGAAGAAGCUUGAGCCACAACGGUGAUGCUGAAGACGAACUCAAUAGAGAGGAUAGAUUACGCAUUUCGAUGUUCCAAAUCUACAAUAGAAACAAGGAGAUGUAGGUGAAUUGAAAGGGUGAAGGAUGUUGAGAUCUGCGAUUAUUGGUCUGCUCGUUGAGAAAAACCAAAUCGUUGAUGUUUAGGGUAGAAUAGAAAGAGAAAGUGGAGUCAGGAUAGAGAAAGAGAGAGUGGGUCACCAUAGAGAGAAAGAGAGAUACCUAAACUAAUUCUAGUUUUGAGGGUAAAUUAGACAUUGUCAAACAAGAAAGCAUGUGACAUGGAAAAAGUAUGUGUAAGUAAUAUUGACUUGAGAAAAAGUAUGCGUAAAUUUUUCAAAACUAAUUGACAUUUUCAUUUUUUUUUUGUUUUGGGACUUUAGAUUUUCUGUUUGGGACACAGAUUCUUUCUCAGUUUUUGGCUGUAAUUCUUUCUCAGUUUUCAAAACUCGACAACAAAAUAAAAGUUAUUCCAAAAGAAUAACGUUGGAGUGAUGAACUCAGGUUGAUGUUAUGUAAAAUUAGCAUCUCUUACCAAUAUGAUACACUAUAUUUAUGUAAAUGGGGCCCCUAAAAUGUCUAUAUUGGAUCUCGAAGCAGGUGGCACAGAUUGUUGUGCACGUGCAUGCCGUUGACAUAAAAAACAUAGUAUCAAAACACAAUACGGAAUCUGUUACCCACCGAUCACCAGAGCGAUGGAAACUCCGAGUAACGAAGCCGUUGGCUUUAGAUCGGAGUUUCUCCGUGUUCUUCGUAGUCGACGAUCACCAGAAGGUUUGUUCUUGGUGGUUUUAUUAUUAUUUUCUGCUAUUUAAUCAAAAACAUUUCUACUUGAUUACUUCUCUCUGUUUUACUAUAAUAACACGAUUCUGAUACAUGUAAGGUUAAUUUACAAUCUCAUAAUCUAUGAUUAUCUUCCUUUAACUGUUAGAUUAACCUUGAAUUAAAUCUGGAUACAGUUUACUUCUAAUAUUUUUAUUUGUUUUUAAUAUUAGUUUGCAUGUUUAAUGCUUGGGAACAUUUUCAGUUCCAUUGGUAGCUGAGUGUACAAAGCCAGUGGAAGAUCCUGUGUUUCAAAAUGAUGUUCCAUCUACGGAAGUGAGAUAUUGCAUAUAUUUUUCUGCAGAUUUUUUUAUUAAAUAUACUUUCAUUUAUUUAUUUGAUUUGUGGUUUUUUUGUUCAUUACCAAACCAGGCACUAGAGUCUUGUCCGAAGAAAAAUAUUAAUAACUUGAAAGAGAUGCUUAAAGAGGAAAACCUUCAUCUGCACACUGAGGUAAUGUUUUAUUACAACUCUGUUUUUCAACAAAUUUUCUGACUUUUUCUGAUGUCCUAAGAUGUUUAUGUAAUGGAUCAAGGCUGCAGAGCAAGGAAGACUGCCUUUGCUUAUCUUAAGCUUGAAAGAGAAUAGUGAAGAAAGAAGACCAGCGAUUGUGUUUAUGCAUGGCACCAACACAAACAAAGAGUGGUUAAGGCCAUGGCUUGAAGUAAAAUAAAACAUCUCAGCUUAUACUCUUGAACUCUCCUAAAAUCAAUAGGUUCCUCUGUUGAACACAACUUAAUUGAUUGCUUUUCUUGUUAAGGCAUAUGCUUCACGUGGAUAUGUAGCCAUUGGCUUAGACUCUCGCUACCAUGGAGAAAGAGCUGGCACCAAAACUGCCUAUAGAGAUGUAAAAAUCUUUGUUUAUGGAUCAUUAACUAUUGAUCUUUUCUUUAGUCUUUUUGAGCUCUGACUUACAGUGGUUUUGGUGUAAAUCUCAAUGCAGGCUCUUAUUUCAUCUUGGAAAAAUGGAGACACAAUGCCUUUUAUCUUUGAUACUGUAAAAACACUGCCUCUACUUUAGAUUGUAAGACUUUAUUAUCGCAUUUAUCGAUCUUUUCUUUGUUUUUCAGGUCUGGGAUCUGAUCAAACUAGCUGAAUAUCUUACUCAGAGAGAAGAUAUAGACCCUAAAAGGAUAGGAAUCACCGGUAUCUCACUAGGAGGUCAGUCAUAGAACAAAUUGAGUACUAUGAUUUGUAGCUUUUUAACAUAUACUAACUUUGUUCAUUGGGAAAGCAAAUACAGGGAUGCAUGCUUGGUUUGCUGCUGCAGCUGACACUCGCUAUUCCGUGACUGUACCUUUAAUUGGUGUUCAGGUGAAACAUAACAACUACAAAAACCUGUAACUGACUUGUAUGAGGAUUGUUUCCUUGUUUUAGAAGACUAUUCCAAGUUUCUAAAGUUGUGCUGUUGAGCAGGGUUUUAGAUGGGCAAUAGAUAAUGAUGAGUGGGAAGCAAGAGUCAACAGUAUUAAGCCUUUAUUUGAAGGUCAAACUUUUUGAAUAAACACAAAAUAUGAAUCAAGAUUCUAAUUCCUUUAAUGGUUACAGAAGCAAGGAUUGAUAUGGGAAAGAGCGAGAUCGACAAAGAAGUGGUUGAGAAGGUAAAGAAAGCAUGACAGUGACUAUGAGCUAACUCGAGUUGAUUGGUUUGUAAUUGUAUUUAUUGACUCUCAACAGGUGUGGAACAGAAUAGCUCCUGGCCUAGCCUCUCAGUUUGAUUCUCCUUACUCGUUACCAGUGACUGCUCCACGGCCUCUUUACCUCCUUAACGGCGCUAAGGAUCCUCGCUGUCCUCUUGGUGGACUAGUUGUUCCUUUAGAAAGAGCUCAAAAGGCUUACGAGGAAACUGCUUCUCCUGGAAACUUCAAGGUUUAUCCAUCACUGAUCUAAAUCAUUUAGUUCUAAUGCAUCUGAAAAGG